CCGGCGACCGGCGCACGGGUGAGUAACACGUAUGCAACCUGCCCGUGGCAGGGGGAUAAGCGGGGGAAACCCCGUCUAAUACCGCGUAACGCGGCCUAGGGACAUCCCAAGGCCGCCAAAGGGAGCAAUCCCGGCCACGGAUGGGCAUGCGGCGCAUUAGCUAGUCGGCGGGGUAACGGCCCACCGAGGCGACGAUGCGUAGGGGUUCUGAGAGGAAGGUCCCCCACACUGGUACUGAGACACGGACCAGACUCCUACGGAAGGCAGCAG
rnacentral:rRNA from 1 species